rnacentral:tRNA from 1 species
GCCUGACUGGCUUAGUUGGAAGAGCAUGUGAUUCUUGAUCUCAGGAUUGUGAGUUUGAGCCCUAUGUUAGGUG